ACUAUAGGCAAAUUACGUCUUUCUAAUCCUAGAUCUCUGGAUCAACUCUAAAGACUAUAGGUAUGUAGGUAUAGACUAUAUACCUACAUAGACUAUACACACACACACACACACACACAGACUAUAUACAUAUAUAUAUGUAUACAGUCUAUGUAUAUAGACUAUGACUCAAUGACUAUAGGUAAAUUAACCCUAGAUCUUGGGAGCAACUCUAAAGACUAUAAGUAUAUAGUCUAUUUAGACUAUAUAGGCUCUAUACCUAUAGUCUUUAUAGUCUGUAUAGUUAUAUAGACUAUAACUCAAUGACUGUAGGUAAAUUAACCCUAUCUAAUCCUAGAUCUUGGGAGCAACUCUAAAUGUUAUGUCUGUUCAUUGCCUUAGCUGAAGAAGUUAGGAAGGAUCCUUAAUCAGCUAGUAUUCUGCAUGAAUAAAAAGAUCAUUUCUGUUUUAUUAACUAUGACUAUUAAAUAAUUAGGUAAUUAAUGAGGAGAAAACCUGGGUCAUAUGCCCAUGACUGAUUUUGUUUGUUUGGAUAGCUCUGUCAAAACAAUCCCAUUGGGGAGGGAAUCCACUAAUGUUUAAGCCUUCUGGUUCCUUCUUGAUCCACACCCCUGCAUCUUAAUAUUCUUAAAUCUCUUCCAAAGGAAAAAUAGGAAGCUACAUCAUCCAAGAACUUCCCAGCCUCACCCAGUCCUAUAUCACUGCAUAUAGACUAUAACUGUAUCCCAAUCCAUUUACACACAUACAAAAAGUGUGUUUGGAGAGCCACUUUGAGGGUUCUGGAGCUAGAGCACAGAGAAAAGCACAGUAAAGGUUCCCAUAAGGAGGGAUGUCCCUCUAGAGUUUCCAGUCUCACGGAGGAAGACAGGCAGUAAGCAAAUUUAAAGUGUCCUGACAUCAGCAGUGAGGGCUGAGAAGAUAAAGCAAGGCUAGGAAGGUCCCAGAGAACGGAACCUUGUCCUCAGUGGGGUGCUUCGAGAAGGACCUCUGUCAGGGCUUAGGAGCAUCUGUGGAUACCAGAGGAAACGAAGGCUUGCAUUAAGAGCCUCUAGCUAGAUGCUGGCAAUCCUGAACUCUGGGGUUACACAUCACACUGGGCCCCCCCACCCCCCAUCUUCCUUCAUCUCUAUAGCUGCUCCAAGUGUAUCAAAGCUUAGGAGACUAGAUGCUCUUGAUUUCUCUUCCAUCCAGAGUUCUCUACUGUCUUAAAAGUGAAAACGCUCCCACCUAAACCCUUUCAAAUGUCACGGACAUCUUUGAAGUAUAAAAUGGCUGGGUUCUUUCAAAGCUGCCUUUGACUUAAUGGGUCUCAUGGAUCUGGUCCUCUUCCCAACCUCUGGUCUCGUUGACAUUUGCCUCCUGCCAAUCUUCUUUUCUUUACUUUCUUUUUUUCUUUUUUUCUUCCUCUUCUUUUGUCCUUGCUUUUGAACUUGGUCUCAGCGAUAUGGAUCAAGAGACUUUGUCAGGAAAAGAACAAAACUGUUUUUGCAAUAGAUUGCCCAGUGGACUUUGGAUAUUUAUUUUUUUAUUUUUAUUCAGUUUACGUUCUGAAAAGAAAUCACUCUAGACGAUGCCUGGUUCAAAGAUUCGUUCUGUAGAAUUUAAACAGGUAUUUAGGCUGUGAGGUUGAAUUUUCCAUGAUGAGUCAGUGGAAAGGGGACAAACAGGAAACAGAGCUGUUAGCCUGGGAGCUUUUGGAAACAGCAUUCCUCAUUAUACACACAUAGACAGAUAUGCCGGUUUGUUUUAGCCAUCACUUUGAUACAGUCUAGAAACACAUGGUAAGAAAGUUGUAAUGAAUUAUCUAGAUCACAUUGGCCUGUAGGAAUGUCUUUGGGGCAUUAUCUUGACUGUUAAUUAAUGUAAGCAGACCCAGACCAUUCCCUAGGCAAGACUCACAAGCAGUGUAAGAGAGGAAACACUAGUCCAAAGCAGGCAGUCAAGCAAGUAGGCUGCAUGAAUGAAUGUAUUGCCCUCUGCUCUUGACUGUGGUUAUACUAUAGCUGCUUGAGUUCCUAGCUUGACUCUCUCCCCACCCCCACCCCCACCCCCAUCCUCACGUAGACUGGGACCUGGGGUUUCCACCUAAAUAAAUGCUUUCUCCCCUAGGUGACAUUUUGUCAGGGUAUUUUUAUCACAGCAACAGAAAAGAAAACAGAACAAGAUUCUGAGUUCUGGUCUACGUUAUAGGUAGUCCUUAACCAAGUGACUGAUAAUGUACAGUAAGUGGCUUGCCUCCUGGAGCCUACCCUUCUCUCAACAUUGUUGUAAUAAGGAAUAAUUUGACAGGGAAACUAAGAGACAAUGAUCAAUAAUACGACUGAUUUUCAAGAAAUCCAAUCUAUCAUUCAUAUUUUAACUUAACCGUAAAAGUCUUCCCUUCCCUUUUCAGGGGUUCAUGAGCUCCCAACCCCAAACUGAGGAACUAUUAACAGUUGGUGAUUUUUGAGGGAAAAGUGAGUCAGUUUUCUUUAAAUGUCUGGCCCUGGGUAGGUUGACCAGGCUCCAGUGAAUGUCCCCAGUCAAUGAAUGACUGGAGAAUACAAAUUGGACUUGCUAGAGUAUUU
rnacentral:lncRNA from 1 species